rnacentral:lncRNA from 1 species
GAUGUAAAAAAUAUAUCUUUUAGGACAAGAAAGCCUGUUUGCUAGCGUAAUGAGUGCAUGUAAAGAUUGCAUUCUGGAACAUUUGGUUUAGCAUAUUUUUGAACAUGAAAAAUUGUCAAAAUUUGUGUAAAAUGCUCGCGAAAAUAAGUGAUUUUGAAACGUUAAUAUCUUAUUCAUUUUUCAAUGUAAAUUCAUGAUGUUGGUCUCAUUCGAUAGCUAAACCCUUUCUUGUUUUGCUGUUAAUUUGUCACAGUUUACAAAAUUGGGGAAGGACCUGAUUUUUUGCUCAGAAAAUGACACACCACGGUAAACAACAAUGGCCGCGCCGUUACAACAAAGGUGCAGGUUUAGGCGAUAAUUUUGCAAAAAGUAAAUAAGAUAUGAAACUGAAAAUUUAAUACAAUGAGGAUAAAAGUAUUGGCUUUCAAAUGAGACCAUUUUCAUCUUUCUGCGAUCAGAAAUAAGUUCAAAACAUUGAUUUGAAAUGACCCUGUUAUUCACCAUUUCUCGUCUCUUUUUUUUUUGCAUUUUCCGAGAAUAGGGUCACGUAAGGUCGCUACGUCAUCACUCACGUCAUUUAGGAGCUGGACAUAACAAUAACAAUAUGGCUUUCAACGGUCACAAGUAUUUCUGUGAAAUAAAAUCAUUUUAUUGUGUUUGUAGAUGGAGGAUCGGAAAAAAAACUUUAUGAGAAAAUACAUCUCAGAAUGCCUGCUGUUAAAAAUUACCAAGGAUGGAGGCGAAUGCAUGAUACAGGAGCUGAAAAAAAGAGCAACAUGUCCAGACCUGCAAAAUAUUUGCAAGCAUAGACUGAAGAAGUGUGAAGCAUACUGAAGUGAUGUGUGUGUGUGUGUGUGUGUUCCACAGUUGUAAAUUAUGGAAAGAAAAGCAGAGCACUACAGUGACUUGCACAGGCCAAGAUGUCUCAAGUUGUACUUCCAAACAGAAGUGAUGGGUGACAAGCUUUUACUAGCAACUUGUGAAGAAA